rnacentral:misc_RNA from 1 species
CAGAGUUCUCGCCCUCACGGGUAGAUCUCCCACCCACUGUUAUCGUUACUGUCGUUUCUUUGGCGGGCCGCCGGGUCCCCCGGCCGCCGGCGUCUAAUAGGCGGCGUGCGCCCGCCAGAGGCCUUCAAACUCUGAAUGUCAGUGUCGUCUGAGUACUAUAUAAUAGUUA